GCCCCCAUACGUUUGCCACGCCCCUUGCGGGGCAAGACUGGUCACCUCCAGGUCGAUUUACGCCCCGGGCCUCGGGCUCGGCCCCGGGCUGAUGAGUGUUUUUUCCAGCACUUUCCCCCCAGGCAAGGGGCACGAGGAUCCCGCAGCUGCUGCUGCUGCCUCCCCGCACCCCAAGCGGGGUGCGCGAAUCGCCCUUCAGCAGCUGCCAUCCCCUCUCCAGUGGGUCCUUGGAGCUUCCCCACCCCCACGAGGCGCCUCUCCCGUCAGCUUCCAGCAGCUGAAACAGGGCAGAGGACGGACAGAAGAGCCUGCAAAAGGCUGCAGAUCUCCGAAGCAGGGCCCAGGGCAGUCUGCAGUUCCCUUGCUGUGCAAACGCCAGACGUGGCGGCAGAAGGGUGCUGCGCGAUCCUGGCUUUCCUCUCAAGUGUUUACUGGUGCCGUGUUUCCAACAUGAAUGAGUAGUUUGUUACCAAUGACAAUUUUUUACGGUUUUUCCAAGAACUGCAGGCCCUGGACCUCAUAAUCGGAGUAUUCAUUAAAAAGAAACAUUCUCGCCUUAAAAGGUUCCACAGAGUAACGCCUGAAAAUUUGACCCAAGAGUAAACUAUGGGCUCAGAAAUGAAAAUGAAAUAAAAAAAAACACCCAUUUUUCUCAUGAUUCAAAAUUCAUAAUUUGAAGCAAUUAUCAUGAUUGGGAUGGGGGCCCUGAAAAUGAUCUCUAAAUUACUUAGAAUGAAAAUACUUCUGUUUACACAAAAAACAUUUAACAUGAGAAAUGCUCAUAAAACAGCGUGCCACCCUGCUCACUCAGCAGCAAAAUUUUAAAAAAUUGUUCUCAAACAACAUCGAUGCCAAAAUGAAAAAAUACAUAAAAUGAAGUGUUGACUCUUAAAAACAGUGAAGACCAUUACGAGUUAGUCUGAACAUUUCUUUCUAUCAGAACAUGAUGCACUAUUUCACCUCAGGAAAGCAAGGGAGGCACGGGAACACAAUGGACAUGCAGGAUGACCAGAGUGAACUCCUUCGCAUGGUUUCCACCAACCUAGUGGGGCAGCACAAAAUGCCCCUCAGGGACGAGAGGACGGAUGUCUUGGUAUGCAAAUGAAAGCAAGGCAUCCUAGAAGUCAGAGUUCCAAGAACUUUCCGGACUCCAGUCCUCUGCGCCUGACAGAGGUGAAAAGGCAUCUCAUAGAUUACCUCAAUGCGUCCUUCGCCCGCCAGUUGGGUAUGGUUUGACCCCGCCUGCCCAGCGCAAGCUACAGGAGAUGCCGCUGUGCCAAAGGAUCUCGCCGAGGGCAGGCGGGCCGUGGGGUGAGAGGCCCGGCGCCGAGGAGGAAUCGGUAGGGAGGCGAAGGGCCGAAGGGUCUGAUCCUGCAAGAGGCUGAAGUUAAUGCGAAUAGAGAGGGCAGCUGUGAGGAGGAUUGGCUCUGGUCAGCUCUGAACUUGCCCUGGGAUUUGCUCUGAAACAUGGAGCCCAUGUGCCGCAUCUUGCAAGAUUCCAGUCCAUUCCUCCCCCUCCCACAUCUGGCUGAAGAUUGGGUCUUAAUUAGGAAUAAUUCAGAAUAGAUGGUGGGGCAGUUUAAUGACGGUGCAAUAAGCUUAAAGAAAAGUGAUGCUGGUAUCUCAAUUGCCAGACUGACGGGGACCAACAACCUUGGACAAUCAGCACACUCAGCCCUGGGGUGGGGCUGGCAGGAUAGUGAAAUAUGGGCUCAUUCAGACUUUGGUCUCUGAAAGGGACAUGGAAGGACAGUCUCCUCCCCUCACAUUAGGUAAAUAACCAUCUCAAAACAUAUUUUAAAACAAACAUUUGUAUGAAGUACAUUGUGUGGGUCUGCUAAGCUUUCAGAGAGAGAUGUGUCUGUGUUGAGACAAUACGCACCUUGGAAUAAGAUGAGGCCCAUGUAUGUAACUAAACAAAACCACCACAAAAUUAGAUUCAAAGAUAUUUAUUAGGGCAAUUCAAGUUCAUGCUCCAUUUGAAAUACAAAGCACCAGAGUUUAGAUAACUGAUUAUCCAAGUAUCAUCCAGCUGAAGCUGCUGAGCUGUGUACAGACAUGUAUUUAUUAGAUAUCACAGUCCCAGAUCGUAUUCACUUGAAGAAUGGUGAACAAACAAAAAUACAUUGGAGCAGUGGCUGCUAAGAGGCAAACUCUCCUAUUUCUGAGGUCUUGGCAAGAUGUCUUUACAACACUUACCCUUCCCACUAGAGACCUCAGAAGAAUACUAUAAUACAACUCCUCUCACUACCAGUACAUUACACAUCUAGGAUAUUUUAUGGCAUUAAAGACAACCUCCAAAUACAGUUUAGCAUUUUUGUUUUGCCAAAGAUUUUUAAACACAGAUUUAAUUUUCCUUAAAAAGAAAAAAAGUCCAUGGCAAACCCCACGUUCUUUUGUACUCAGCGAUGAACUGUCCCAGCACAACAUUCAACUGAGAAGUAAAGCACUAUGGCUGUGAUUACACUAGGAACUUUACACAUUGGCGAUUCAGGGUGCUGUCAACAAAUGUAAAUAAACUGCUCCUGCAAAACAGUUUAAUUGCAAGUGUAGACAGGACUACAUUAUGUUCAGCAGUUUCAGAAACUAGCUAGCUGCACCCCUUGUCAACAGGGCAUAACUUUCCUAAUGUAGGCUUAAAGGCUAGAAUCUGAUUUUAGAUACCUGAUG